CUUAAAUGAGCCAGGCAGUGGUGGUGCAUGCCUUUAAUCCCAGCACUUGGGAGGCAGAGGCAGGUGGAUCUCUUUGAGUUCAAGACCAACCUGGUCUACAAGAGCUAGUUCCAAGAUAGGCUCCAAAGCUAAACAGGGAAACCCUGUCUCGAAAAACAAAAACAAACAAACAAAAACAACACUUAAAUGUUAAAAUGUCAUUAGCCAUCAGGAAAAUGCAAAUCAAAGCUACUUUGAGAUCUCCACUUACACCUAUCUAAACAGCUAAGAUCAAGAAAACAAGUGACAGCUCAUAUUGGGAAGGAUGUGGAGUAAGGGGAACACCCAUCCAUUGCUGGUGUGGAAAUACAGCAACUGUGGAAAUCAGUGUGACAGGUACUCAGAAAGAUGGUAAUCUAUCUACCUCAAGAUCUAGCUAUGCUACUCUCAGGCAUACAGACUUAUGCUUCAUCCUAUCACAGGGCACUUGCUCAACCAUGUUCAUUGCUGCUCCAUUAAUAAUAGUCAGAAAUUAGAAACAACCUAGAUGUCCCUCAACAAAAGAAUGGAUGAAGAAAAUGUGGUGUAUUUGCACAAUGGAGGCAUUUGCACAACGGAGUAUUACUCAGCUGUUAAAAAAAUGAAAUUUGUAGGCAAAUGGAUGGAACUAGGAAAAAAAUCAUCCUGAGUUAGGUAAUCCAGAUCCAGAAAGACAAAUAUGGUAUGUAUUCACUUAUAUGUGGAUAUUAGCUAUGAAGUCAAUGAGAACCAAGCUACAAGUUGAAGAACCACAGAGGUUGGAUGUAGAGUAAGGAACUAGGGGAAACAUAUAGGUCUCCCUAGGAUAGGGAACUAAAAUAGAUAGUUGUGGAUACAUUGGGAAAUGGGAAGAUCAAGUGGAGAGAGGGAGGACACAGGGGUGUAAGAAAGGGAAUACGGGAAGAGAUAGCUAAAAUUAAUGGCCACUUGAGGCGUGAUAGGGGCCUAAUACAGUAGAAACCUCCUAAAAUAUAUACAUAUAUGACGGCAAUAUAAAUGAAAUUACCAAAUAAUGGGGGAGACAGAGCCCCAAUUGGCCAUCUUUUCUCACCAAAUGAAGCAUCCAGUCCCAGGAUUGGGUUACAUUUAAUUGAGUUGUUGCUAAAGGGGUCCUGUGGGAAUCUUCUAAUCACCCAGGCUAUUGCCAAGACUAUAGGUUGCUCUCCACAAACUGAUGGCAAGGCCCCACUGUUGAAGGCAACACUUACACAAGUCACUGAACAUGGAGAAAUUAAGCUUGUGCCUACACAGAGCUUUCACCCCUCUUUGGUACAGGAGGGCACUCUGCAUGCUACCACAGGAGAAAUGUAAACACCAACCCAACAUAAACCCUUUGAUCUACAAUGGUGUCCUGCCUGCAAAACAUGCUAGGGAAUUUGUGGCACAAAGUUUGUGCCACAAACUAAUAUCUAAGUUGCCUGAAGACCCACACCAUGAGAAAGAACCUGUACGCAUCACAACUUGGGUGACUAAGAACCUGAGACUGGAUAGCCCAAAGACCUAGGGGAGAAGCAAAUAAUACUUUCUAAAGAAAAUUAAACAGCAAUGAAAUGACUUCUAAUAACACUGCUAGUUCAUAGAUCAGUGCCUUGCUCAACCAUCAUCAGAGAAACUUCUACUUGAAGCAGAUGGGAACAAAUAGAGAGACCCAAAUUAUGCAGGGUGAGCGACCUUUGGAUUCCAAACAGGAUGUCUCCAUCGAUUCCCCACCCCAGGGUACAGGGAAUCCUGCAGAGGAGGAGGCAGAAAAAGUGUCAGAACAAGAGGCGAUGGGGAACACCAAGGAAACAAGGUUCUCAACCUUUUUAACACUACAGCCCUUUAUCACAGUUCCUGAUGUUAUGGUGACCCCCAAGCAUAAAAUUAUUUUUGUUGCUGCUUUGCAACUACAAUGUUGCUAGUUAUGAAUUGUAAUGUGAAUAUCUGUGUUCUCUAAUUGUCUUGGGCAACAUCUAUGAAAGGGUUGUUUGACCACUAAAGGGAUUGUAAUCCACAGGUGGAGAACCACUUUAGAGUCUGCAACAACCUGAUCAAUAUAUACUUAUGGACUCAGAGACUGAGGCAGUAUGUACAUGGCCUGCACAGGUUUGCAACAGAUGGGAUCCUAGAGCUGAAGUAGUAGACACAUCACCCAUCCCUAAUCCAGAAACAAUCUCCAACUGAGAGGCACUGCUCUGAUGCAGCCAACCUCAAGUGCUGGGAUUUCACAAAGGCAGAAGUUUGUCACAUCCAGAAGACCCUAUCUAGCUCAUUCCCUCAGGAUGACAUCUGCUCUCUUCUGCAUAUAUUCAUAUAAAAGAAUACAAUUAGAUCCCAGGUGCAUGAACUGGCUUUUUGGAGCCCAUGGGUCUAGAGUCCAUGAGUGCCCAGGGGCUCAGGUCAGGUGUCUCUGUGGGUUUCUCAGUCAUGAUCUUGACACACCUUGCUCAUAUAAUCUCUCCUCCCUCUCUUCAUCUGGACUCCUGGAGUUUAGCCUAUGGCUUGGUUGUGGAUCUCUGCCCCUGCUUCCAUCAGUUUGGAUGAAGAUUCUAUGAUGACAAUUAGGGCAGUCAGCAAUCUGAUUACAGGAGAAGUCCAGUUUAGUCACUCUCUCCACUAUUCCUAGGAGUCUUAUCUGGGGCCAUCCUUUGUACUCCUGGGAGUUUCCCUGGCAGCAGGUCACUCCUUA
ensembl:lncRNA